GCUGCAACCCGCCUGCAUGAAGUCGGAAUUGCUAGUAAUCGCGGAUCAGCAUGCCGCGGUGAAUACGUUCCCGGGCCUUGUACACACCGCCCGUCACACCAUGGGAGCCGGUAAUACCCGAAGUCAGUAGUCCAACCUCGUGAGGACGCUGCCGAAGGUAGGAUUGGCGACUGGGGUGAAGUCGUAACAAGGUAAC
rnacentral:rRNA from 1 species